rnacentral:rRNA from 1 species
AUUGAACGCUGGCGGCAUGCCUUACACAUGCAGGUCGAACGGCAGCGGACCUUCGGGUGCCGGCGAGUGGCGAACGGGUGAGUAAUGUAUCGGAACGUACCUUUCAGUGGGGGAUAACGUAGCGAAAGUUACGCUAAUACCGCAUAUUCUGUGAGCAGGAAAGCAGGGGAUCGCAAGACCUUGCGCUGAUUGAGCGGCCGAUAUCAGAUUAGCUAGUUGGUGAGGUAAAGGCUCACCAAGGCGACGAUCUGUAGCGGGUCUGAGAGGAUGAUCCGCCACACUGGAACUGAGACACGGUCCAGACUCCUACGGGAGGCAGCAGUGGGGAAUUUUGGACAAUGGGGGCAACCCUGAUCCAGCCAUGCCGCGUGAGUGAAGAAGGCCUUCGGGUUGUAAAGCUCUUUCGUCCGGGAAGAAAUCGCAUCAGCUAAUACCUGGUGUGGAUGACGGUACCGGAAUAAGAAGCACCGGCUAACUCUGUGCCAGCAGCCGCAGUAACAC